rnacentral:rRNA from 1 species
GACGAACGCUGGCGGCGUGCUUAACACAUGCAAGUCGAACGGGUCUGCCCUGUUUUUUGCGGGGUGGGUCAGUGGCGACCGGGUGAGUAACACGUGAGUAACCUGCCCCUCACUUCUGGAUAACCGCUUGAAAGGGUGGCUAAUACGGGGUGUUCUGGCUGUGCCGCAUGGUGUGGCUGGGAAAGAUUCACUUUUGUGGUGUUUUGGUGGGGGAUGGGCUCGCGGCCUAUCAGCUUGUUGGGGGGGUGAUGGCCUGCCAAGGCUUUGACGGGUAGCCGGCCUGAGAGGGUGGGGGGUCACACGGGGACUGAGAUACGGCCCAGACUCCUGCGGGAGGCAGCAGUGGGGGGUAUUGCACAAUGGGCGGAAGCCUGAUGCAGCGACGUCGCGUGAGGGAUGGAGGCCUUCGGGUUGUGAACCUCUUUCGCCGGUGAAGAAGGUCCUGCUCUUUGUGGUGGGGUUGACGGUAGCCGGGUUAUGAAGCGCCGGCUAACUACGUG